rnacentral:rRNA from 1 species
AUUGAACGCUGGCGGCAUGCUUUACACAUGCAAGUCGAACGGCAGCGCGGGCUUCGGCCUGGCGGCGAGUGGCGAACGGGUGAGUAAUGCAUCGGAACGUGCCCAGUAGUGGGGGAUAGCCCGGCGAAAGCCGGAUUAAUACCGCAUACGACCUGAGGGUGAAAGCGGGGGACCGAAAGGCCUCGCGCUAUUGGAGCGGCCGAUGUCGGAUUAGCUAGUUGGUGGGGUAAAGGCUUACCAAGGCGACGAUCCGUAGCUGGUCUGAGAGGACGACCAGCCACACUGGGACUGAGACGCGGCCCAGACUCCUACGGGAGGCAGCAGUGGGGAAUUUUGGACAAUGGGGGCAACCCUGAUCCAGCCAUGCCGCGUGCGGGAAGAAGGCCUUCGGGUUGUAAACCGCUUUUGUUCGGGAAGAAAUCCUCUGGGCUAAUACCCCGGGGGGAUGACGGUACCGGAAGAAUAAGCACCGGCUAACUACGUG